rnacentral:lncRNA from 1 species
UAAUUGCCUAGAACUUAAAUAAGUAGUAUCUUAUCAUCCCGCUGCAUUCAAUUCAAAGUAAAAAUUAGGGAACAUAAUUUUUAAAUAACCCAAUUCACCCCCCCUCUUGGGUUGUCAUCUUGGGCAACAGAGAAAAAAAUGAAAACAGGAAAAACAAAAAAUUUAACAUUUUUUCUCAUAAUCCAUAGAAGUAGAUGCAUGCAGGUAACAUUUUUUCUCACAAAAAUUUUAACAUUUUUUCUCAUAACAUUUUUUCAGGUGAAGCCUGCAUUUGAAAUACAUGCAGGUAACUCAUCUUUGUCUGGGCCUGCAUAAAAUUGUGUAUCCCAAUGAGAGACCUCUACUAUCUUGACAUGGAUGUACCCCUCAUGCAGCUGACAUGGUCUCAGUUUUUUACGUCAGAUCAGCUGCAUGGUAGUAAUAUUAUGAAGGCAAGCUUGCUGUUAACAUUCCUACCCUUUUUCUAGUGUAAUCUUAGACGUUUAUAGACAUGCUAGACAGAGCCCUGGAUAGGAUCAAUUGAAACCCCCU